rnacentral:RNase_P_RNA from 1 species
CCAGCCGGCCGGGCGGCCGCACCGGCAGGGACCGAAAGGUCGCAGGUGAGGAAAGUCCGGGCUCCAGGGAAACACGGUGCCGGCUAACGGCCGGCGGGGGCGACCCCAGGGAAAGUGCCACAGAAAGCAAACCGCCCCGCUCGCGGGGUAAGGGUGAAAGGGUGGGGUAAGAGCCCACCGCGCGACUGGCAACAGGAGCGGCACGGUAAACCCCACCGGGAGCAAGACCGAAUAGGGACGACGCGAAGGGCAACCUUCGGGCAGUUUCCGGCCCAGUCGUCCGGGUAGGUUGCAUGAGGCGGGCGGCAACGUCCGCCCAAGACGAAUGGUCGCCACGUCGCGGCGCCCUCGGGCGGCGCGGCCAUACAGAACCCGGCUUACAGGCCGGCUGGCAUU